AUAAUUUAAUCCUCGUGUCAAUUAUUACAGUAUUCAAAUGUUCAAGUUUCAUCUUUUGGGUUGCAGAUGUGUAUUAGUAUCCUACUGGUCACUGUUAAGACUAUGCAGCCAGUGCAGAUAGCCGAUACAGAUCCUUGUUUGGGUUUAUUGUGCGUCGAUCUGUUGGUAAUGCCUUAGAGUUCCAGUAGGGGGUUCAAUCAACAGAAGACUGAUAAUGACAGCUGCAGGUGUGUUCACCUCUUUCUCCCUCACCUGUUGAAGGGUCAGAAAUCAACUCAUUGGCUGAGCUCAAUCAGGUUCCCUGUCAUGUGACACAUUUCCUCUCAUGUGACUUCAGACCAGGAAGUUGUUCUCCUGUCUAGCAGAGAUGUCUGCUCCCAUCUGCAAACACCCUCGGCUUCAAAUGAAGAUAACCUUCCUCUAAAGCCCCUCGUCCCUCUCCGUACCUUCAGAUGUCCCGACCUUCACGGAGAGUUCAAACAAACCUGCCCAAAGUUACGAGGGAGGAGAGGCGAGCCGGAGGAGGAAGAGGAGGAAGAGGAGCGUGAGAGCAGCAGAGCUGACGUCCAGACGUAUUCUGAGGGGACUUUUAAAGGAAACGGCUCGGACAUUGUGAAAGAACAGCGCUCCGCUCUCCUUAACACCAUUCGACGGAAACCUUUUUCUGGGACCAUAGAGAGCCUCGGGAGGUGAUGAAGGUGCUGAAGGUGCUGAAGGUGCGAGCACGGGCGAUUGUUCAUGUGCAACUUUUAACAAGGAGAAGGCGACGAAACAACGUGCAUCAGUCGAUUUUUUGUCAGCUUGGUGUGAUGGCAGCGGAGGAACAGGGAGGCCCACCGUACCGUACCUGUAGACGUUGAUGGGCUCGGGGUUGGAGCUCCACACUCUGAGGCUCUCCUGGAUGACCAGCUGGAUUUUCGGGAGGUAGGACUCCAAGGCCUCGUG